CUUCCUGUGUGGAAGCUGGGAUUCCAAUGGCAGGCAGGAAAUCUUGUACAUCUGUGAGCGUAAAUUUUUGUGGCCAUGGGAUGGACAAGAACCACAUGUUUACCUGAAGUCCUGUGACAUUUUGGUGUGCAGCAUGGGAGCUCCAAAAGUGGUGAGUAAAAUGAGGGCUCAAAAUCUGUCACUGUUGUUUCUAAGUCUUUACAUCCUCGGACUUCUGAGGGUGGGGGAACCAUGCCCCCACCCCCGUGGCUCCCGGGCCUUUUCAUGGCCUUUUCCUUCCUUUUUUGGGACCCAUUGCUAAGCAGCAGUUCCUUGCCCUGCUGGGGCUGGGACGCAUGGCCCAAGGGUCCCACACAGCUGGCUGGCUGGUUCCCAACCACAAGCCACCGCAGCCUUCCCCUUUCCUGGCCAAAGGGUUUAGCUUUAUCGGACAGUAAUUAAGCUUUACCUCUGGUGGAGGAACCAGUUGCAUAAGAAUAAGAGGUUCUUCCCCAGGCAUUUUUAAACUUUUUUUUUCUUCCCCUUUUCCCUUUUCUACCCAACAGCAGUUAACCUUUAAAGGUAUUUUUUCCCCUUUUAGAAGAUGUUUUUACUAAACCAGGCUCCCCCCACAACUAUCCAACUAUCACUGUUUGUACACUUUGUAAAGUUUUGGUUGUGAAAAAGGAUUUGUGGGGCUAGUCUUGGGCUGUGGCCAAUCUGGUGUGCUUUGCGUGUCUGUAUGGUUUGGUUGCAGCCUCCAUCUUGCUUUGCAUCCUGGGGGCAUGGCCAGUAACUGCUUGGCAAUCCCUCUUGUUUGGUAAUCCCUCUUGAGGGAAUGAGCCUUCUCAGAUUAGAUAUCUGCAUGUUUUCCUAGCCCUGUCUCUUAUAGGGCCCCACCCAGCGACUGGGUUUUCUUCUGGCUGGCUGUGUAAGUACUAUGCGUGAUGUUUGUAAAAAGAGCUCUAAUAAUUUGGCCUAAAGAAAGAAGUGUUUGGAUCAAGUAUUUUUUUAAGGGAAGUUAAAAGCUGUGGUACCUUUCGGUUCACAUGACUUUAAUCUUUCAGAAAUAAAAACAGCCCUAAAGACUACUGGGAAAAUGCAGGUCAGAUGGAAGUUUGCUAAGCGUUUUGAGGUUACAAACUGCUUCAUGGGUUUUGAGAACUCUGUCUUGCCUGCUUCACAAUUGGUAAGGCCUGCAGAAGUAUGAAACUAAAUGCACCCUUAACUAAGAAGGCAAACGUUGACUCCAGUUAGCACAAUUAAAGCAACUUACCAGGAUUUACCUUAAAGUUAACAAUUGUUAAGGGUUACCAUUAUAACAUGUGAUUGAAACUACUGAAAAUAGAUUUACAUGCAAGGUGUGUAAGAACAGUAAAAUGUGUUUUUUAGUAAAAGGUUAUAAGAAGGGAUGGAAAUAAAAAUCUUUGCCUAGGGUCAAAGGAUUGUUUUGAGUUAAUUUAGGAAAAAGCUGAAA
rnacentral:lncRNA from 10 species